rnacentral:rRNA from 1 species
UGGUGGCGACCGGCGGACGGGUGCGUAACGCGUAUACAACCUUCCCGUAACAGGGGGAUAAUCCGAAGAAAUUUGGUCUAAUACCCCAUAAUAUCAGUAGAGGCAUCUUUAUUGGUUGAAAUUUUCGGAGGUUACGGAUGGGUAUGCGUAGCAUUAGCUUGUUGGUGAGGUAACGGCUCACCAAGGCGACGAUGCUUAGGGGGACUGAGAGGUUUUCCCCCCACACUGGUACUGAGACACGGACCAGACUCCUACGGGAGGCAGCAGUGAGGAAUAUUGGUCAAUGGACGGAAGUCUGAACCAGCCAUGCCGCGUGCAGGAAGACGGCUCUAUGAGUUGUAAACUGCUUUUGUACAGGGAUAAUUGCCGAUACGUGUAUCGGUUUGAAGGUACUGUACGAAUAAGGAUCGGCUAACUCCGUGCCAGCAGCCGCGGUAAUACGGAGGAUCCAAGCGUUAUCCGGAUUUAUUGGGUUUAAAGGGUGCGUAGGCGGUUUGAUAAGUUAGAGGUGAAAUCUCGGGGCUCAACUCCGAAAUUGCCUCUGAUACUGUUGGACUAGAGAACAGUUGCGGUAGGCGGAAUGUAUGGUGUAGCGGUGAAAUGCUUAGAGAUCACACAGAACACCGAUUGCGAAGGCAGCUUACCAAUCUAUAUCUGACGUUGAGGCACGAAAGCGUGGGUAGCAAACAGGAUUAGAUACCCUGGUAGUCCACGCUGUAAACGAUGAUUACUCGUUGUCGGCUAAAUAUUGUCGGUGACUAAGCGAAAGCGAUAAGUAAUCCACCUGGGGAGUACGUUCGCAAGAAUGAAACUCAAAGGAAUUGACGGGGGCCCGCACAAGCGGAGGAACAUGUGGUUUAAUUCGAUGAUACGCGAGGAACCUUA